GCAUCUGAAUCUUUCCUGCUCCUUGCAAUAUAGUGCUGGACUGGGGACACAUGAUGCAACAGAAAAGCAGAGGAAAUCCAGACGGGCUCCCUUUCACCGCAGUGGGACUUGUCUCUACACCUUUGCAACAUUU
ensembl:snoRNA